UACGAAGGGUGCAAGCGUUACUCGGAAUUACUGGGCGCAAAGCGUGCGUAGGUGGUUCGUUAAGUCUGUCGUGAAAGCCCCGGGCUCAACCUGGGAAUGGCGAUGGAUACUGGCGAGCUAGAGUGCGGUAGAGGAGAGUGGAAUUCCCGGUGUAGCAGUGAAAUGCGUAGAGAUCGGGAGGAACAUCAGUUGCGAAGGCGGCUCUCUGGACCAGCACUGACACUGAGGCACGAAAGCGUGGGGAGCAAACAGG
rnacentral:rRNA from 1 species